UACGUAGGGUCCAAGCGUUGUCCGGAUUUAUUGGGCGUAAAGAGCUCGUAGGCGGCCAACUAAGUCAGACGUGAAAUCCCUCAGCUUAACUGGGGAACUGCGUCUGAUACUGGAUGGCUUGGAUUUGGGAGAGGGAUGCGGAAUUCCAGGUGUAGCGGUGAAAUGCGUAGAUAUCUGGAGGAACACCGGUGGCGAAGGCGGCAUCCUGGACCAAUAUUGACGCUGACGGAGCGAAAGCCCAGGGGAGCAA
rnacentral:rRNA from 1 species